UACGUAGGUGGCAAGCGUUGUCCGGAAUUACUGGGUGUAAAGGGAGCGUAGGCGGGGAGACAAGUUGGAUGUGAAAUCCCCAGGCUCAACCUGGGGGCUGCAUCCAAAACUGUCACUCUUGAGUGAAGUAGAGGCAGGCGGAAUUCCUAGUGUAGCGGUGAAAUGCGUAGAUAUUAGGAGGAACACCAGUGGCGAAGGCAGCCUGCUGGGCUUUAACUGACGCUGAGGCUCGAAAGCGUGGGGAGCAAACAGG
rnacentral:rRNA from 1 species